CAGCAGCCGCGGUAAUACGAAGGGGGCUAGCGUUGUUCGGAUUUACUGGGCGUAAAGCGCACGUAGGCGGACUUUUAAGUCAGGGGUGAAAUCCCGGGGCUCAACCCCGGAACUGCCUUCGAUACUGGAAGUCUUGAGUAUGGUAGAGGUGAGUGGAAUUCCGAGUGUAGAGGUGAAAUUCGUAGAUAUUCGGAGGAACACCAGUGGCGAAGGCGGCUCACUGGACUGGUAUUGACGCUGAGGUGCGAAAGCGUGGGGAGCAAACAGGAUUAGAUACCCCGGUAGUCCCUGUCUCUUAUAC
rnacentral:rRNA from 1 species